rnacentral:rRNA from 1 species
GACGGAGGAUGCAAGUGUUAUCCGGAAUCACUGGGCGUAAAGCGUCUGUAGGUGGUUCAAUAAGUCAACUGUUAAAUCUUGAGGCUCAACUUCAAAAUCGCAGUCGAAACUUAUUGGAACUCGAGUAUAGUAGGGGUAAAGGGAAUUUCCAGUGGAGCGGUGAAAUGCGUAGAGAUUGGAAAGAACACCGAUGGCGAAGGCACUUUACUGGGCUAUUACUAACACUCAGAGACGAAAGCUAGGUAGCAAAUGGGG